rnacentral:rRNA from 1 species
GACGAACGCUGGCGGCGUGCCUUACACAUGCAAGUCGAACGGUAACGCGGGGCAACCUGGCGACGAGUGGCGAACGGGUGAGUAAUGCAUCGGAACGUGCCCAGUAGUGGGGGAUAGCCCGGCGAAAGCCGGAUUAAUACCGCAUACGACCUACGGGUGAAAGCGGGGGACCGUAAGGCCUCGCGCUAUUGGAGCGGCCGAUGUCAGAUUAGGUAGUUGGUGGGGUAAAGGCCUACCAAGCCUUCGAUCUGUAGCUGGUCUGAGAGGACGGACCAGCCAUACUGGGACGUGAGACACGGCCCACGACUCCUACCGGGAGGGCAGCAGUGGGGAAGUUUU